UUUCUUCCCUCGAAUGUUGGGGGCCUACAUUUAGAAAUUGUGUAGUGCAAAAGGGAUAUACAUUAAAUAUAUUAAGCUCCCGGAAAAACUUGGCAAAUUGCUGGAAAGACGUUAAUGAAAACCUAAGAUCAUUUUACGUUCAAUCAGCAGGCAAUCUUUACUUAGUUAUACUAAAUAAAGUCGCUUCAACGAUCAGACGCUAAGUACCCUACACCUUGGGUAUAUCAGAUUAGGUGACACGUAUAACCAUCCUGACUUCGUAGGCCGCAUAGUACAUAAUGAUGCUGCUCAUACGGCUUCGCUGUACGGAGAGUUAUAAUUAAGAAUUUAAUUAAAUAUCUAGGAAGGGUAAUGGUAUGAUCUACAAUUAUUGGUGACAAAUAA
rfam:Chaetomium globosum CBS 148.51 scaffold_9 mitochondrial scaffold, whole genome shotgun sequence.